CAAUCAAUUGUUACUGAAAACUUCACAACUUGACAAAGAAUUAAAACUACCUUUGAAUUUUAACAAAAAGCUGAGUUAUAGAAUAUAUAUUUCUUUUGUGGUGAUAAUACUAGCACAUACUUGGGUUAUAACUGAAACUGCGUACAAUUACAAACCAACAAAAAAUGCAGCAUUAAACUAUCCAUGGGAAAUAGUGGUUGAAGGAGUGAUAGCACUAACAAUUGAAAAUGUCAACGUGGCAGUGAUUAUAACAAUGAAAUCAAUGAUGAAAUUAUUUUGGGCAAGUUAAGAUGGCUGCGGCCAUUACACAUGAAAGUUGGAGAAUUGGUUGAUUUGUUUAAUAAUGUCUUCGAAGUAAAUUUAUUAGCGAUGAAUGCUAUGUUUUUCACACAGUUUGUUUUGAAUGCGUUUUUUUUGAUUAUUUCCAUUGAGAGAGGCAUUGGUAAUAAACUAAUUAUUUACUUAAGUAUUAAAGGAGUGUAUUUUCUUGGUUAUGUUAGUUAUAUGCUGAUAGUGUGUCAUGUUUGUCAUCAAACUGAAUUAGAGUACAAGAAAACGGGCGGAAUAUUACAUUCUCUGGAAGAAUUAAUUGCUGGCAAUAAUUCGCGUGAAAUAAACAAUGAAUUAAUGGUAUUUUCACUUCAAGUCCUACAUUUCAAAAUGGAAUUUACCGCUGC